CACGUAGGCGGAUUCUUAAGUCGGGGUGAAAUCCUGGAGCUCAACUCCAGAACUGCCUUCGAUACUGAGGAUCUCGAGUCCGGGAGAGGUGAGUGGAACUCCGAGUGUAGAGGUGAAAUUCGUAGAUAUUCGGAAGAACGCCAGUGGCGAAGGCGGCUCACUGGCCCGGUACUGACGCUGAGGUGCGAAAGCGUGGGGAGCAAACA
rnacentral:rRNA from 1 species